rnacentral:rRNA from 1 species
GUUUGAUCCUGGCUCAGAUUGAACGCUGGCGGCAUGCCUUACACAUGCAAGUCGAACGGUAACGCGGGGCAACCUGGCGACGAGUGGCGAACGGGUGAGUAAUGCAUCGGAACGUGCCCAGUAGUGGGGGAUAGCCCGGCGAAAGCCGGAUUAAUACCGCAUACGACCUACGGGUGAAAGCGGGGGACUCGCAAGAGCCUCGCGCUAUUGGAGCGGCCGAUGUCAGAUUAGCUAGUUGGUGGGGUAAAAGCCUACCAAGGCGACGAUCUGUAGCUGGUCUGAGAGGACGACCAGCCACACUGGGACUGAGACACGGCCCAGACUCCUACGGGAGGCAGCAGUGGGGAAUUUUGGACAAUGGGCGCAAGCCUGAUCCAGCCAUGCCGCGUGCGGGAAGAAGGCCUUCGGGUUGUAAACCGCUUUUGUCAGGGAAGAAACGCUCUGGGCUAAUACCCCGGGGUAAUGACGGUACCUGAAGAAUAAGCACCGGCUAACUACGUGCCAGCAGCCGCGGUAAUACGUAGGGUGCAAGCGUUAAUCGGAAUUACUGGGCGUAAAGCGUGCGCAGGCGGUUAUGCAAGACAGAUGUGAAAUCCCCGGGCUCAACCUGGGAACUGCAUUUGUGGCUGCAUAGCUAGAGUACGGUAGAGGGGGAUGGAAUUCCGCGUGUAGCAGUGAAAUGCGUAGAUAUGCGGAGGAACACCGAUGGCGAAGGCAAUCCCCUGGACCUGUACUGACGCUCAUGCACGAAAGCGUGGGGAGCAAACAGGAUUAGAUACCCUGGUAGUCCACGCCCUAAACGAUGUCAACUGGUUGUUGGACGGCUUGCUGUUCAGUAACGAACCUAACGCGUGAAGUUGACCGCCUGGGGAGUACGGUCGCAAGGAAAAACUCAAAGGAAUUGACGGGGACCCGCACAAGCGGUGGAUGAUGUGGUUUAAUUCGAUGCAACGCGAAAAACCUUACCUACCCUUGACAUGUCAAGAAUCUUGCAGAGAUGUGAGAGUGCUCGAAAGAGAACUUGAACACAGGUGCUGCAUGGCCGUCGUCAGCUCGUGUCGUGAGAUGUUGGGUUAAGUCCCGCAACGAGCGCAACCCUUGUCAUUAGUUGCUACGAAAGGGCACUCUAAUGAGACUGCCGGUGACAAACCGGAGAAAGGUGGGGAUGACGUCAGGUCCUCAUGGCCCUUAUGGGUAGGGCUACACACGUCAUACAAUGGCCGGUACAGAGGGCUGCCAACCCGCGAGGGGGAGCUAAUCCCAGAAAACCGGUCGUAGUCCGGAUCGCAGUCUGCAACUCGACUGCGCGAAGUCGGAAUCGCUAGUAAUCGCGGAUCAGCUUGCCGCGGUGAAUACGUUCCCGGGUCUUGUACACACCGCCCGUCACACCAUGGGAGCGGGUUCUGCCAGAAGUAGUUAGCCUAACCGCAAGGGGGGCGAUUACCACGGCAGGGUUCGUGACUGGGGUGAAGUCGGAACAAGGUA